rnacentral:rRNA from 1 species
GGCCUAUUGAAAGUUAAUUUUAGGUCUUACCUGCCCACUGAGAAUUUAAAUGGCCGCAGUAUUUUGACUGUGCUAAGGUAGCAUAAUCAUUAGUUUUUUAAUUGAAAGCUAGUAUGAAGGGUUUGAUGAAAAAAAAACUGUCUUUUAAUAAUUAAAUUAAAAUUUUAUUAUUAAGUUAAAAAGCUUAAAUUUUUUUAAAAGACGAGAAGACCCUAUAGAGUUUUAUUUUUUUAUUUUAUAUAAUAUUUAGAAUUUAAAAUUAUAUAUUUUAUAAGAAAUUUAAUUGGGGCGAUUGAAAAAUUUAAUAAACUUUUUUUAUUUUUACUUAUAAAUUUAUAUAUUUUUGAUCCAUAAUAAAUGAUUAUAAGAUAAAAUUACCUUAGGGAUAACAGCGUAAUUUUAUUGGAGAGUUCAAAUCGAUAAUAAAGAUUGCGA